rnacentral:rRNA from 1 species
GUGUCAGCAGCCGCGGUAAAACGUAGGAGGCGAGCGUUAUCCGGAUUCACUGGGUGUAAAGCGCGUGCAGGCGGUUCGGUAAGUUGGGCGUGAAAUCUCCCGGCUCAACUGGGAGAGGUCGUUCAAUACUACCGGGCUAGAGAGCGGUAGAGGAAGAUGGAAUUCCCGGUGUAGUGGUGAAAUGCGUAGAUAUCGGGAGGAACACCAGUGGCGAAGGCGAUCUUCUGGACCGUUUCUGACGCUCAGACGCGACAGCUAGGGUAGCAAACGGGAUUAGAGACCCCGGUAGUCCUAGCCGUAAACGAUGUGAACUUGGCGUCGGUGGGUUAAACUCCAUCGGUGCCGCAGCCAACGCGAUAAGUUCACCACCUGGGGACUACGGCCGCAAGGUUAAA